GUGGGGAAUAUUGGACAAUGGACCACAAGUCUGAUCCAGCAAUUCUGUGUGCACGAUGACGUUUUUCGGAAUGUAAAGUGCUUUCAGUCGGGAAGAAGUCAGUGACGGUACCGACAGAAGAAGCGACGGCUAAAUACGUGCCAGCAGCCGCGGUAAUACGUAUGUCGCAAGCGUUAUCCGGAUUUAUUGGGCGUAAAGCGCGUCUAGGCGGCAAGGAAAGUCUGAUGUGAAAAUGCGGAGCUCAACUCCGUAUGGCGUUGGAAACUGCCUUACUAGAGUACUGGAGAGGUAGGCGGAACUACAAGUGUAGAGGUGAAAUUCGUAGAUAUUUGUAGGAAUGCCGAUGGGGAAGCCAGCCUACUGGACAGAUACUGACGCUAAAGCGCGAAAGCGUGGGUAGCAAACAGG
rnacentral:rRNA from 1 species